rfam:Solanum tuberosum cultivar DM 1-3 516 R44 scf00107_36, whole genome shotgun sequence.
UGGUAGUGAUGUGGACAAGCAUUCAACAAUUGUUUGAAUCGAGCCCAUGCUUGGUACAUAUCUUCCCCAUUUUUCAGCUUAAAGCUCAAUAUUUCACUCCUCAACCU